AAGAGUUUGAUCAUGGCUCAGAUUGAACGCUGGCGGCAGGCCUAACACAUGCAAGUCGAACGGUAACAGGAAGCAGCUUGCUGCUUUGCUGACGAGUGGCGGACGGGUGAGUAAUGUCUGGGAAACUGCCUGAUGGAGGGGGAUAACUACUGGAAACGGUGGCUAAUACCGCAUAACGUCGCAAGACCAAAGAGGGGGACCUUCGGGCCUCUUGCCAUCAGAUGUGCCCAGAUGGGAUUAGCUUGUUGGUGAGGUAACGGCUCACCAAGGCGACGAUCCCUAGCUGGUCUGAGAGGAUGACCAGCCACACUGGAACUGAGACACGGUCCAGACUCCUACGGGAGGCAGCAGUGGGGAAUAUUGCACAAUGGGCGCAAGCCUGAUGCAGCCAUGCCGCGUGUAUGAAGAAGGCCUUCGGGUUGUAAAGUACUUUCAGCGGGGAGGAAGGUGUUGUGGUUAAUAACCGCAGCAAUUGACGUUACCCGCAGAAGAAGCACCGGCUAACUCCGUGCCAGCAGCCGCGGUAAUACGGAGGGUGCAAGCGUUAAUCGGAAUUACUGGGCGUAAAGCGCACGCAGGCGGUCUGUCAAGUCGGAUGUGAAAUCCCCGGGCUCAACCUGGGAACUGCAUUCGAAACUGGCAGGCUUGAGUCUUGUAGAGGGGGGUAGAAUUCCAGGUGUAGCGGUGAAAUGCGUAGAGAUCUGGAGGAAUACCGGUGGCGAAGGCGGCCCCCUGGACAAAGACUGACGCUCAGGUGCGAAAGCGUGGGGAGCAAACAGGAUUAGAUACCCUGGUAGUCCACGCCGUAAACGAUGUCUACUUGGAGGUUGUGCCCUUGAGGCGUGGCUUCCGGAGCUAACGCGUUAAGUAGACCGCCUGGGGAGUACGGCCGCAAGGUUAAAACUCAAAUGAAUUGACGGGGGCCCGCACAAGCGGUGGAGCAUGUGGUUUAAUUCGAUGCAACGCGAAGAACCUUACCUGGUCUUGACAUCCACGGAAGUUUUCAGAGAUG
rnacentral:rRNA from 1 species